rnacentral:ncRNA from 16 species
CUUCGAAAAGAAUCACUGCCUCAUAUAAUCUUGGAGAUAAGGUCCAUAAGUUUCUACCUGGCAACCAUGAAUUGCUAGACUAUGAGGGGAAAAGUGUGUAAC